rnacentral:rRNA from 1 species
GACAGAGGUGCCGAGCGUUAGGCGGAAUCACUGGGCUUAAAGCGUGUGUAGGCGGACCGUUAAGUGUCUUGUGAAAUCCCACGGCUCAACCGUGGAACGGCUGGGCAUACUGGCGGUCUUGAGCGGUCCAGGGGCGAGCGGAACAAGCGGUGGAGCGGAUGAAAUGCGUAGAUAUCGCUUGGAACGCCGACGGUGAAAACAGCUCGCUGGGGACCCGCUGACGCUGAGACACGAAAGCCAGGGGA